rnacentral:rRNA from 1 species
UUAAGCGACUAAGCGUACACGGUGGAUGCCCUGGCAGUCAGAGGCGAUGAAGGACGUGCUAAUCUGCGAAAAGCGUCGGUAAGGUGAUAUGAACCGUUAUAACCGGCGAUGUCCGAAUGGGGAAACCCAGUGCAAUUCGUUGCACUAUCGUUAACUGAAUACAUAGGUUAACGAGGCGAACCGGGGGAACUGAAACAUCUAAGUACCCCGAGGAAAAGAAAUCAACCGAGAUUCCCCCAGUAGCGGCGAGCGAACGGGGAGCAGCCCAGAGUCUGAAUCAGCUUGUGUGUUAGUGGAACGGUCUGGAAAGUCCGACGGUACAGGGUGAUAGUCCCGUACACCAAAAUGCACAGGUUGUGAACUCGAAGAGUAGGGCGGGACACGUGGUAUCCUGUCUGAAUAUGGGGGGACCAUCCUCCAAGGCUAAAUACUCCUGACUGACCGAUAGUGAACCAGUACCGUGAGGGAAAGGCGAAAAGAACCCCGGCGAGGGGAGUGAAAAAGAACCUGAAACCGUGUACGUACAAGCAGUGGGAGCACCUUCGGGUGUGACUGCGUACCUUUUGUAUAAUGGGUCAGCGACUUAUAUUCUGUAGCAAGGUUAACCGUAUAGGGGAGCCGCAGGGAAACCGAGUCUUAACUGGGCGUUAAGUUGCAGGGUAUAGACCCGAAACCCGGUGAUCUAGCCAUGGGCAGGUUGAAGGUUGGGUAACACUAACUGGAGGACCGAACCGACUAAUGUUGAAAAAUUAGCGGAUGACUUGUGGCUGGGGGUGAAAGGCCAAUCAAACCGGGAGAUAGCUGGUUCUCCCCGAAAGCUAUUUAGGUAGCGCCUCGUGAAUUCAUCUUCGGGGGUAGAGCACUGUUUCGGCUAGGGGGUCAUCCCGACUUACCAACCCGAUGCAAACUACGAAUACCGAAGAAUGUUAUCACGGGAGACACACGGCGGGUGCUAACGUCCGUCGUGAAGAGGGAAACAACCCAGACCGCCAGCUAAGGUCCCAAAGUCAUGGUUAAGUGGGAAACGAUGUGGGAAGGCACAGACAGCCAGGAUGUUGGCUUAGAAGCAGCCAUCAUUUAAAGAAAGCGUAAUAGCUCACUGGUCGAGUCGGCCUGCGCGGAAGAUGUAACGGGGCUAAACCAUGCACCGAAGCUGCGGCAGCGACACUAUGUGUUGUUGGGUAGGGGAGCGUUCUGUAAGCCUGCGAAGGUGUGCUGUGAGGCAUGCUGGAGGUAUCAGAAGUGCGAAUGCUGACAUAAGUAACGAUAAAGCGGGUGAAAAGCCCGCUCGCCGGAAGACCAAGGGUUCCUGUCCAACGUUAAUCGGGGCAGGGUGAGUCGACCCCUAAGGCGAGGCCGAAAGGCGUAGUCGAUGGGAAACAGGUUAAUAUUCCUGUACUUGGUGUUACUGCGAAGGGGGGACGGAGAAGGCUAUGUUGGCCGGGCGACGGUUGUCCCGGUUUAAGCAUGUAGGCUGGUUGUCCAGGCAAAUCCGGAUAAUCAAGGCUGAGGUGUGAUGACGAGGCACUACGGUGCUGAAGUAACAAAUGCCCUGCUUCCAGGAAAAGCCUCUAAGCAUCAGGUAACAUCAAAUCGUACCCCAAACCGACACAGGUGGUCAGGUAGAGAAUACCAAGGCGCUUGAGAGAACUCGGGUGAAGGAACUAGGCAAAAUGGUGCCGUAACUUCGGGAGAAGGCACGCUGGUGUGUAGGUGAAGCCCCUGCGGGUGGAGCUGAGACCAGUCGAAGAUACCAGCUGGCUGCAACUGUUUAUUAAAAACACAGCACUGUGCAAACACGAAAGUGGACGUAUACGGUGUGACGCCUGCCCGGUGCCGGAAGGUUAAUUGAUGGGGUUAUCCGUAAGGAGAAGCUCUUGAUCGAAGCCCCGGUAAACGGCGGCCGUAACUAUAACGGUCCUAAGGUAGCGAAAUUCCUUGUCGGGUAAGUUCCGACCUGCACGAAUGGCGUAAUGAUGGCCAGGCUGUCUCCACCCGAGACUCAGUGAAAUUGAACUCGCUGUGAAGAUGCAGUGUACCCGCGGCAAGACGGAAAGACCCCGUGAACCUUUACUAUAGCUUGACACUGAACAUUGAGCCUUGAUGUGUAGGAUAGGUGGGAGGCUUUGAAGCGUGGACGCCAGUCUGCGUGGAGCCAACCUUGAAAUACCACCCUUUAAUGUUUGAUGUUCUAACGUUGGCCCCUUAUCGGGGUUGCGGACAGUGUCUGGUGGGUAGUUUGACUGGGGCGGUCUCCUCCCAAAGCGUAACGGAGGAGCACGAAGGUUAGCUAAUCCUGGUCGGACAUCAGGAGGUUAGUGCAAUGGCAUAAGCUAGCUUGACUGCGAGCGUGACGGCGCGAGCAGGUGCGAAAGCAGGUCAUAGUGAUCCGGUGGUUCUGAAUGGAAGGGCCAUCGCUCAACGGAUAAAAGGUACUCCGGGGAUAACAGGCUGAUACCGCCCAAGAGUUCAUAUCGACGGCGGUGUUUGGCAC